AACGAACGCUGGCGGCAGGCUUAACACAUGCAAGUCGAACGAAAAGCCACCUUCGGGUGGUGGAAAGUGGCAGACGGGUGAGUAACGCGUGGGAACGUACCCUUUGGUUCGGGACAACUCCGGGAAACUGGAGCUAAUACCGGAUAAGCCCUUCGGGGGAAAGAUUUAUUGCCGAAGGAUCGGCCCGCGUCGGAUUAGCUAGUUGGUGGGGUAACGGCCCACCAAGGCUAUGAUCCGUAGCUGGUCUGAGAGGAUGAUCAGCCACACUGGGACUGAGACACGGCCCAGACUCCUACGGGAGGCAGCAGUGGGGAAUAUUGGACAAUGGGCGAAAGCCUGAUCCAGCCAUGCCGCGUGAGUGAUGAAGGCCCUAGGGUUGUAAAGCUCUUUCGCCAGGGACGAUAAUGACGGUACCUGGAUAAGAAGCCCCGCUAACUU
rnacentral:rRNA from 1 species